GCCCGCCCGCCCGCGCGCGCCGGCGCCCCCUCCCCGCCACGUGACCGGCGGCUCAGCACGACCCGCGAUUUGCACCCCCGCUACGCGGCGCGGACGGAGCCGCAGGGCUCCUCUGCGGAGCUCGCCCCUCAGGUCCUCAGUCCAAGGAGCUCGCGGUGACUUACACGCGUGCGGGACGCCGGCGCCGGCCUACCCCUCAGUCUCUGGCAGAGAAAAGGGAAAAGCCGCGAAGGACGGAUGGGGCGUACCCCCGGGGGCCUGACUCAGAGCCUGCCCUGUGGUAUUUGGUGGAUGGUGGUGGUUAAACACAGGAACCCGGAAAGAAGAGCGGCUCAGAGGGUGGCGACCCCCGUCUCUAGGGGGAAGAGGCUGAUAGACUGGAUGAUGCAUGGGUAAUCUGCUGUUGGCCAGCUUGUUAAGUGAGCAAAACUUCUGAAGAUUUUAAGGUGUGACCACAUCAUGCAUGAAACAGCCCAGACGUGCUUCAACCAUAACAUGGGAGUACAUGAUUCAGACUAUGUCGGCAACAUAGCUCACUUACGGAAUCCAGUAGAAUGAGAGACAGAUGGACUCCAAGAGUCAUUGGGGAGAACUCUUCAUCACUGCAGCCAUGCACCUAAACCUAAACAGGUUUUUCUGUCAAGAAUCUAGGGAAAUCCCAUCCCAUCUCCCCAAAUUUGCAGAUAACAUCACUAAGGUUUUUUUUACCUGACAAGUACUAUAAAGCUGAGAUUGUGCUCACUUUGGUAGCACAUAUACUAAAGAAAAGCUGAGAUUUUUUUUUUAACGUUUAUUUAUUUUGAGAGUGAGAGAGAGUGGGGAAGGUCCAGAGAAAGAGAGAGAGAGAAUCCCAAGCAGGCUCUGCCAUCAGUGCAGAGCCUGACAUGGGGCUCAGUCCCAUGAACCGUGAAGUCACGACCUGAGCCUGAAAACAAGAGUUGGACACUUAACCAACUGAGCCACCUAGGCGCCCCUAUUAAGCUGAGAUUUAAACCUAGGUCUAUUUUACUUAGCCUGUGUUAAAUACUAGGCAUUUUCAUUUUAUUUUGUUCAAAAUCCUGAGGUCAUAGAGAAGAAUAGAAGGGUAGUGAUGAGGUGGAUAAUAGGAGGCAGAAAACGCAGGGUUGUUUUAAAGUCUCAACCCUGAGCCUUCUAUCUUUUGUACGCUGUUUCUUCAUAGAAGACACUUUCUCCUACCUGGUAACUUGUGUACAGGACAACAUGGAAAUACAGGAGAGGCAGAUAGACCAACAAGGGAGUAAUUUUAGUAAUUCUAUUAUAUAAUUCAAACCUCCUUGUAAUGCAAUUUAGCUUCCCCACUGAUUGUGAAUUAAUCAGGUUUCAUAAUUAUAUUUAUAAUCAGGUUCUUUCUAUGUAAUUAUUGUUUGUACUUGAGCAAAUUGCUUAGGAAGGCCACCUCCAAAUCCAAAUUAAAUGUUUCAUUUCCUAUUUCCUUUA